AUCACUUAAUUAACAAUUUAGUUCAAGUAAAUGGCCAAGAAGGACAAGAGUGAAGCUCCAACCAGAGAUCCAACGGCGUUCAUGUUGCUUCCACUAGGUGCUGGAGCAGAAGCUCCAGGGCCAGCUGCGGCUGCAGCGGUGGGGGUGCCAGCGGGGGUGGCUGCAGCGGUUGUGGCUGCGGCAGGGGUGGCUGCUGUGGGGGUGGCUGCGGCGCCCUUUACAGGUUCAGCGUUGGCGGCUGCGGCGCCUUUUACAGGUUCAGCAGCCAUUGCUGCGCUUAUGCAGACAGCAACUACAAGGACAACCAAGGCAAUACUCUUCAUGGCCAUUUUGUGGGUGGCGUGUGGUCGGUCGAGGGAUCGAAAACACGCCUUGUAAACGGAUGUUAAGAAUUUAGAGUAUUGUAUUGAUCUCGUAGUAGUUUGUAGCUGUCCUGAGGAAAAUAGGGAGAGCCUUGGGGGUUAUAUAGCUUUGGAGUUUCUAACUAUGGAGGAGCAUGUUGGUUAUUUUUGGAAUAAAUCUGUUGGGUUUUGUUUGAGGUAGGGAACGGUUCUUAGGUCCGUGUGCUUUGCAUGAACAACGCCGCCUAUAAUGGUAUAACAAAAUAACAAAUGAAAUGCCACCUGUAUAGCUUAAAUAAUUUAGAGUGUUGCCCCUACUAUCGAGUUAUUUUGUUUGUAUCUCUAUUCUUCUAUUAUCAAACUCAUUUAGAAGUGCUUUUAAAAUGAUUGAAAACACUUUUAGUGAAAAUAUUUUAAGACCAUCGAGUUAUUUUGUUUGUAUCUCUAUUCUUCUAUUAUAAAGCUCGUUUGGGAGUGAUUUUACAAUGAUUGAAAACAUUUUUAGUGAAAAUAUUUUAUAACCAAUCCUUAGUUAUAAUUCAAGUAAAUCCUAAAAAAAUAUUUAAUGUGCUUCUUGCGAAAACACCUUAAGUGAUUUUAGAACCUAAAAACAUUUUCUCUAGAAGUGCUUUCAGUAAUUUUAAAAGUACUUCCAAACAAGCCCAUAACGUGUAUCUCUAUUCUCCCAAUAUUACUUGUAUCUUAAAACUACAAAGAAAUUAAUUAAAGAUGAUUUUAUUGAUAGUUGAUAUUAUUGACACUCUAAAAAAUCAUUUUGUACUUCUCAAAUUUAUUUUUCUUUCUAAAUAUACAAAAUUAGAAGUGCAUGUCUCAUAAUUGUUAAACAAACCUACAUAUUGAACAAAAAUGCACAUUUACUUUUUAGUAGGGGGAUUAUCUUAAAACACUCACUUAACAUACCCAAACUACUCUCACACACACCCUCUUCAUGUAACACAGUUCUGUAGUGUAGGAUACAACUGUCUUGCUCUCCUAAGAUUCUCAUUUUGAGGACCAAAUGCAUAUUAGCCACAAGAUUAUAUUAGUUUAGAUCCAAAAGUUUAAAAUAUUUGACAACUUAAUAAAACAAAACCAACUUAAAAUUUAUGAACCAUAAAAAAAAAACUCAUUUUCUUGUUUUGUUUUAUUAAGUUGUUAAAUAUUUUAUGCCUUUGGAUCUAAACUAAUAUAAUCAUGUGGCUAAUAUGCAUUUAGUCCUCACUGAUUCUCAAAAUGAAGACAUUAGGAGAGUAGUACUCCACUACUCAGGUACAACAAUUGUUACAACCAGUCCAUAAUUUUAUUUUAUUUAAAAAAAAAAUGUGAAACGAUCAAAAUGCCCUUAGAGGUAUGUGUUGACUUUCAUUGACUUACUGGUCAGGACACAUGUGACAUAUUAAUUAGUAUAUUCUAACAACACUCGUUAUUAUGAACGACUAAUCAUAAACAUAGCGAAAAUUAGAACUAGAAGAAAGAUUCUACGAAACACGUAUUAAUCAUUUUAUUUAAAGUAGUGGAAAAGAUAAUAACGCUAGUUAUAAAAUAUUAGUGAUGGAAUAAAAAUAAAUAAUUAUAGAGAAAUAAAAGAGAAGAGGGGAGAACUCUCGAGAAGGGGAGACGUCGGUGGAGAAGAAAGAAAAAAAAAGAAGGAAGGACGAUGGGGAUGGGGGAUUCUUGUUGCUGUGGAUGUUGAGAUCAGCGGGAACUCCCCCAUGCUUCAGGUUUGAGUUGUAUCGUUUCAUCUCUAUAAAAUACUAACAUGUGUCAAAAUAUAGAAAUAGAUAUCUAGCACUUCAACGAUAGAGACCAGUGUAAACCUUACUGUAUUCUGAUAAAGAAGAUAGAAGGAAGAUGGACGAGGGAAAUGUUUACAGAGAGGGAGAGAGAGAGAGGGAAGAAAGAUCUUUUUUCCAUUCAACAUACACACAUACACUGAUUACUGUUAUAUAUCAGUUUACAUGUUUACACAUUCCUUAUAACUACCCAAUCUAACUUCCUUCCUUAUCUAAUGACAAGUGGCAUCUUAUAAGCCAUUGGAUCACUAUCCUCAACAUCCCCCCGCAAGCUCAGGAGAGGAGUAACCUAACCUGAGGUUGUUACAAUGCGUUCGAAACAAUGGAGCAGAUAAUCCCUUAGUUAAAAUAUCAGCAAACUGAUCACCAGAGGUAACAAAUUGAACCUGCAGCAACCUUUUAGCAACUCGUUCUCGCACAAAAUGGAUGUCCACCUCAAUGUGUUUAGUUCGCUGAUGCAAAACUGGAUUACACGACAAUGCUAUUGCUGACAUAUUGUCACAGAAAAGAAUAGGUGGAGUAGUAACUUGAAUUUGGAGGAAGUCAAGUAAUUGUUUAAUCCAGUCAAGUUCAGCUGCAGUGGUGGAUAAGGCCCUGUAUUCAGCCUCAGUAGAUGAUCUAGAUACUGUUUGCUGCUUCUUAGAGGACCAAGAGAUGGGGUUAUGACCAAGGAAUACUACAAAACCGGUUGUUGAUCUCCUGUCGUUAGGAUCACCAGCCCAAUCAGCGUCUGAGAAAGCAUGUAAGUCCAUAGAACCUGGCACAUAGUUAAUACCAAGCUUGACAGUACCCUUAAGAUAUCUGAGAAUCCUUUUUACUGCAACAUAAUGUGAUUCCAUAGGCUUGUGCAUGAACUGACACACCUGAUGUACUGCAAACGCAAUGUCCGGCCGUGUAAAUGUGAGGUAUUGUAAAGCUCCAACUAUACUCCUGUAAAGUGCAGGAUUGUUGAAAGGUUUCCCAUCAUCCAACAGCAGCCUAUUAUAUGGUAAACAAGGUGUGGCACAAGAUUCUGAUUCUAACAUCUCAGUCUUUGUAAGAAGAUCAGUAACAUACUUUGUUUGGGAUAGGAAUAAGCCAUCAACAUGUUGAAUGAUCUGAAUCCCCAGAAAGUAGUGUAAAGGACCUAAAUCCUUGAUUUCAAAUUCCUUGGUUAAUGCAGCAAUGACAUCAACCAUAACGGAUGCAGUGUUUCCAGUGAUUAUUAUAUCAUCCACGUAUAAUAAGAGAAUCACAACUGAGGAACCACCUUGCUUCACAAAAAGUGAUGAAUAUGCAUAAGUUGCAUUAAAGCCAAUAGUAGGAAGAAAACUGGUGAAUCUGUCAUUCCAAGCCCUCGGGCCUUGUUUAAGGCCAUACAGAGACUUAUGGAGUCUGCAAACAUAAUCUGAACGGUGAACAUCAAGAAAUCCAGGUGGUUGAGACAUAUAAACCUCAUCCUGCAAUGUGCCAUGAAGAAAUGCAUUCUUCACAUUUAGUUGUCUUAGUGUCCAACCAAAAGUAGCUGCCAAGGCCAACACAAAUCUUACAGUAGUUGGUUUGACUACGGGACUAAAUGUUUCCCCAUAAUCAACGCCUUCUUCCUGAUUAAAACCUUUAGCAACUAGCCUAGCCUUAUACCUCCCAAUUGUUCCAUCAGCAUUUCUUUUAAUCUUGAAUACCCAUUUACAUCCAACUAAGUUUUUAGUUGGAGGUAAAGGUACUAAAGUCCAUGUGCCCUGAGAAUGUAAUGCAAAAAGCUUUUCCUUCAUUGCAUUGACCCAAACUUCACUCUUUAAUGUUGACUUAUAGGUGGCAGGUUCAACAGUCGAUAAAUCGACCCCCUCAUUCUCAUGAAAAGUUGCUAAAAGAGCCUUCUUCUUGGAAAUCCCACUUUUUGACCGAGUUUGCAUUGGAUGCAAAUUCAAUGAAGGAAUGGGGAGUACCACUUGUAAGUGCUCUGGUUGGAAAUCAGGGGUCACAGGGAUAACGGAAGAUGAUGAAUGUUCAAUUGCAGUAAUGGAUUGUGAAGAGUGUUGCACUACUGGAGGAUCAGGGGAUGGUGAUAUGAAAACAAGUGGUGGAGAGUCUGGAGGUGGUGAAUGUGGUAUUAAGGUAGGCUGAGAAGGACUAGAGUGUGAUGUGGAAGAAUUAGGGGUAUGGACAAUCGAAGAUGUAAGCACAUUUUGAAGAUUAGGGACAGGUAGAGGUAUUGAUGCUGAUAUAGAUGAUGAUCGAGACACUGGUAAAGGAUGUGGAGCAGCCAAAGAUGAGUAAGGAAACUCAUUCUCAUCAAAGAGGACAUGUCGAGAAAUAAAGACUUUCUUUCUGGACACGUCAUAACAGAUGAAACCUUUGUAUUUAGAAGCAUAACCAAGAAAUACACAUUUACUGGUUCUAGGUUGCAACUUGGUUGAAUUAAAAGGCCUUAACAGUGGGUAGCAUGAGCAGCCAAAAAUUCUUAAAUGGUUAACUUCAGGGACAUAUCCAAAUAGGACUUCAAAUGGUGAUUUAUGAUGAAGUGUUUGAGUAGGCAUUCUAUUAAUGAGAUAAACUGAGGUUUGACACGCAAAGGACCAGAAACUUGGAGGUAACUUAGCUUGUUGUAACAGGGUGAUGGAUGUUUCAAUAAUGUGUCUGUGCUUUCUCUCGGCCAUACCAUUUUGUUCAGGUGUGUGAGGACAUGACAUGUGAUGAGUUAUUCCAUUUUGAACUAGAAAGGACUGAAAUUGCUUGCCUAUGUAUUCACCCCCACCAUCACUUUGUAAGGUUUUAAUGGAAACAGAGAAAUGAUUUAACACAUACUGAUAAAAGGCAGCAAAGACAGAACAAACAGCUGAUUUAUUAGUGAUAGGAAAAAUCCAACAGUACCUUGUAUAUUCAUCUAUGAAGGUGACAUAGUAUUUAAAACCUUCUAUAGACAUACAAGGGGCAGGGCCCCACACAUCACUAUGAACAAUCUUAAAUGAUUUAUUGGAUUUUGACAAAACAGGCAUAAAAGGCAAUUUGCUAAAUUUUCCCUCUAAGCAUGUAGUACACAACAUUGGAGAAGAAUCUGGUACCACAUGUAUGUUGGACUUUUUAAGAAUGAGAGAGGUUAGGGGAUUAGAGGGAUGACCUAGUCGACUAUGCCAUAAGCUAGAGUUGACUUGAUGACCAAGAAAUGCAGUGGCUGGAAAAAUUGGUUUGGAGGAUGCAUAUCUGGUAGGCAUAGGAAUAGGGUACAAUCCAUUAUUGCAUAGGCCUCUGAACAGUACUCUCCCUGUGACUUUGUCCUGAAUCCAAAAACAGAAAGCAUAAAAAAUUAGCCAACAAUUGUUGUCAAGACAUAGUCUAUGUACUGAGAGCAAGUUUUGAGUAAGUUUAGGCACACAAAGCACAGAGUUCAACUUUAAUUUGUGAGCAGAAGUUUGCAAAACAGAAGAGCCCACAUGGGAUACACUCAAACCUUCACCAUUGGCAGUCAAUCAUUUCUGUGGAUGGAUAUGGUGUAGCUAGAGACAGAUUGCUUAGAUCAGCAGUCAUAUGGUUGGUAGCACCUGAAUCAGUGAGCCAUACUUGUGGAUUCAAUUGUUGGUCCAAAAAUGGCGCUGAGGCAUUAACAUGAUAUGCAUUCAUGGAUGACUGAGAAGUUGGACCAUUGGAAUUUCUGAAGUGACAGAACUGAGCACUGUGGUUUCUUUUUCCACAGAUUUGACAACCAUCAGGAAUUGGAGAAUCAGUGUUCCUAAAUCUGCAUGUAUCAGCAAAGUGACCAUAUUUCCCACAAAUUUGACAUGGUGACACCUGAGAAUUAGAGGAAGAGUAUUGGCUUGAUGGAGAGGUACCAAGGAUCCCUCGAGUUGAAUUGUUAUAAAACUGCUUGCCAUUGAAAGACUUAGAAUUGGAACCAUACUGAAAUUUCCCCCUUCCUUUAUUCUUGUUGUAGAAAGGUCUGUAGCUCGAAGGAUGAUAACCAGAUGAGUUACCAUCAGAAGAUCCACCUCCAGAGGUGAAAUGAGUCCCAGUGUUGAACCCUUUUUCCGUGGACUGUACAGUAGAAUCUCUAGCUACCAUAGCAGACAUAAAUGGAGUAGCAGAUAUAUUUUCAAGCAUGGCUUCCUCAGCAAGAAGUUGAGACAUAAGAUCUUUGAGGGAAAUUACACUGUCUCUUCCUCUAAUAAUCGAACGGAUGGUAUUAAACUCAGCAGAUAAGCCAUUUAGAGUAAGAAUUACUAUAUCCUCAUCAUCAAAUUUCACACUAGCAGCAGACAAGUAAUCUCUAGCCUCUUUGAUCCUUUGCAAAUAUAGAGAGAUCGAAUCAUUACCCUUUUUAAUGUUUUGAAGUGCAGAUUUCAUUUGAAAGAUACUAGUACGAGUCACUAUCGAAAAUUGUUCCUUCAGUCGAUUCCAGAGAUCUUGAGCACUUGUACUGCCAAUAACACACACGACACUGCAGGUGGUGAAAGAGUCGCCGUGAUCAAUUGCAUGAGGGCACGAUCAUGCAUCUUCCAAAUCUUGUAAGCCUCAGAGUCAGCUUGAGUGAAUGAGGGACCAGAAUUAGUCUCUGAUUCACUAGAAGUAGCUGUGAGAAAUCUUGGUGGACAGGGCAUUGAACCAUCAACAAACCCCAUAAUGCCAUAACCUUCGAGCAUCAAUUGAACCUGGAAAUUCCAAGUCAAGUAAUUGGAUUCAUCCAGCUUAACCGUUACAGAAGUAGAAACUGUGGAGAUAAGAGACGUAAUCGGGGACUGAAUGAUUUGUAGUUGAGAAGCCGUCACCAUUAUGAAGUAAUUCGACAAACAAGAACCAAGAAACUUUUGACAAACACCUGGUGUGCAAGAAUGUGUUUCUUGCAGAAAGAGAGAAAGAACACGAUGAAGACCCAAAAAAAAAACAGAAUCAAUUGUUUUCAAGAAGAAACUAAUGGAGAUCAGGAAGAAAGAAGAUGAAAAGCGGAAACGGAAGCAGUAUCACCAAGAUCGAUCACCGAGCGACAAGCUAUUCCGGCGAUGAUACCAUGUAAACCUUACUGUAUUCUGAUAAAGAAGAUAGAAGGAAGAUGACGAGGGAAAUGUUUACAGAGAGGGAGAGAGAGAGAGGGAAGAAAGAUCUUUUUUCCAUUCAACAUACACACACACACUGAUUACUGUUAUAUAUCAGUUUACAUGUUUACACAUUCCUUAUAACUACCCAAUCUAACUUCCUUCCUUAUCUAAUGACAAGUGGCAUCUUAUAAGCCAUUGGAUCACUAUCCUCAACAACCAGUACUUCCAAGAAUUUUACUCAAUCUCCCUUGCUUUCUCCUUGUUAUUUGGGCGAUGUGAGACGAAAACUAGCUCUGGGUUUCUUACUUUUUAUUGGGGUUGUUUACAGCAGUUGAUGAUCCUUCCAUUGUUGCAAGUAUUUCCCAAGAAACUUCUGGGUGCAAUUGUGUGUGUGUGUGUGUGUGUGUAACAUUGACAUACAUGCUUCAAUCAAACAGAACCCUCAUCAUACAUAAAUAUAUAUUGCUUUGUUUAUAAAUUUGAUGUGUUUUAAGCUCUGCACUUUGUAUAACCUUUUAUGAAAGGCUAAAUUGAUUUAGUGGAUGUAAGAAUCUGUCAAGUAUGUGUGAUUAGAGAAUUAGUCACUUGAAUUACAUAGAGUCCGAUUUUUGCUUUAUUCUAAAAUGCAUUUUCUAAUUAAACGAAGAUGGAGCUGGACAAAUAGUGACCCAAAUUAUGUUAUAUAAUGAAUUGACGAUGAUUUAUUUUGAAUGAACGCUUCUAUUCAACAUGAUGUGAAAUUAAAUUUCUUACUUGUUGGGAAAUGAUGUUGGUACACUGAGAUUUAUAGUUAUAGACGGAAAGUAUAAGAUUAGCUUGUAUUUUUUACGCACUUCAAAAUAUAUUCUCUGUUAUUGGAAGUACCUUUGGGGUUGAGUGAAUCAAAUGCACGGUUAGGUCCAUGUAAUAAGUAAGUACUAAGUAGAGACUCUGUCUUCCUAGGUAAAGACCCCAAAGAAAGUCAGUACGCAUGGGUAUACUGGUGGCCUUAUUUCGAUGUAGUGGCCAUGACCUUUUGUUAGAGCUUAUAGACAUGACAUUGAGGCCUGACCAAGAUGUUUAGAACCAAGAUUGAGAAACGUUGAUAAAGGAUUUCAUAAAUAAAAUAACGUAUAAUCAACCGGGGUUUUUAGAAUAACCAUGAAAUCUUCUAUUGAGGUGAGUUAGUAGCAUAGGUAUAGAUUUAUUUAUUAAGGUGAACUACGAAUGGUUUGAUCCCUAUUUAGGGUACGUAGGCAGUCUAACGAGGAAGUUAGAUGCAGCCAUAAAGCAUACGAAAAAUUACUAUGGAAUUGGGACUUGAGUUGUGCUUUGUUCGUAGUAAGUUAGAUAUACAGGCAUUUGGUGGCGUCACGUGUUGAUCCUGGACGUAUGUUGGGAUCGGGGUGUGACAACAAUACUCCACCGCAAUAUUGCAAUAUUUCAACAAACAGUGACUACAUAUACCUUGUAUUUUCAGUACAAAACUACUAAAACAAGUUCAAGUAUUCGGUUGCCUAUGACAUAAAUUAUAUAAAUUUGUAAAGUUCUUCCAAAAUAUUUUCGCGUGGCUUUACCUUGUACUUUCAGUGAGGGACUACUAAAAGAAGUUGAAAUAUCCAUUCCUUAUGACCGAAACUAUAGACACAUUUUGUUACAUCUCAACCGAAAUAUCUUUAUGUAUUGGUUGUUUUGUCUACCAAAACUGUAUCGUGGUUUUUAGUUUGGCCAUUAGUAUGACACUGUUAAACCUGAUGUACAACAACAACAACAACAACAACAACAACAACAAAGCCUUUUCCCACUAAGUGGGGUCGGCUAUAUGAAUCCUAGAACGCCAUUGCGCUCGGUUUUGUGUCAUGUCCUCUGUUAGAUCCAAGUACUCUAAGUCUUUUCUUAGAGUCUCUUCCAAAGUUGUCCUAGGUCUUUCUCUACCCCUUCGGCCCUGAACCUCUGUCCCGUAGUCACAUCUUCGAACCGGAGCGUCAGUCGGCCUUCUUUGCACAUGUUCAAAAUCACCGGAGCCGAUUUUCUCUCAUCUUUCCUACAAUUUCGGCUACUCCUACUUUACCUCGGAUAUCCUCAUUCCCAAUCUUAUCCUUUCUCGUGUGCCCACACAUCCCACGAAGCAUCCUCAUCUCCGCUACACCCAUUUUGUGUACGUGUUGAUGCUUCACCACCCAACAUUCUGUGCCAUACAACAUCGCUAGCCUUAUUGCCGUCCUAUAAAAUUUUCCCUUGAGCUUCAGUGGCCUACGACGGUCACACAACACGCCGGAUGCACUCUUUCCAUCCAGCUCGUAUUCUAUGGUUGAGAUCUCCAUCUAAUUCUCCGUUCUCUUGCAAGAUAGAUCCUAGGUAGCGAAAACGAUCGCUUUUUGUGAUCUUCGCUAGAUUGCUCCGGUCAUUAGUGUGGAUAAGUAUAUAAAUGGAUAGAGAUAGGAAAGCAAACACAAGAUGUACGUGGUUCACCCAGAUUGGCUACGUCGUCCACGGAAUAGAAGAGUUCUCAUUAAUUGUGAAGGGUUUACACAAGUACAUAAGUUCAAGCUCUCAUUUAGUGAGUACAAGUGAAUGAUUUAGUACAAAUGACAUUAGGAAAUAUUGUGGGAGAAUGAUCUCGUAAUCACGAAACUUUCUAAGUAUCGGAGUGUGGUGUCGUCUUGACUUGCCUUAUCUGUCUCAUAGGUAGAUGUGGCAUCUUCUCUGGAAGUACUCUUCCUCCAUCCAGGGGUGGUAUCUUUAACUGGUGGAGAUGCACAAGGUAAUGUAUCAAUUUCACUUGAAGCUUACUUGUAGUUUCAGGCUUGGUCAAGCGCGAUACAAAACCAUGUAGUAGGAGUCCCCCAAGUCGCCGAGCUAGGGGGUCUGCUGAAAGAGGUGACAGACAAGGUAAGCAAUCAGAGCUCCGACUGAUUGUUCACCUUCUCCCCAUCUUGCAGCAGCAUGAAGGAUAAAGAGAAGAAAAAUGAGAAGAGAUGAUAUGAGAUACUUUUGCUUUUGAAGAAGUAACUUUCCACAGGCUUAUUCUUGAACUGAGCUGGAGGGUUUUCUGGUUUUCUCCAGAGUAUAAAGCCGACUGAAGAAUUUGAGGGUCAAAACAAGUCCAUCAAAUCUAGAGUACGUUCCACCCUGCUGAUAUGGGAUACUUUUGCUUUUGACAGAGUAAUGAAUGUAUCGGCACGUGUGCUGUUACGCUUGUCUCCAUAUGCUUCCUUGUAUCCUUCGCACUUGCCCUAUCUGUUCCUCAAGCAGAUGCGGAAUCUUCCCUGGAAACAUAAGAUGUUGAAGAUGAGUACUCGAGAGCAAUGCCAGGUAAGUAAUCAGGUAAGGGGUUCCAGGCAGUCAGUUCCUGGCUGGAAGCUUGAUUCCAAGUGCUGACUGAUUGCUCUCUUUCUCAUUGUCUUGCAGGUAAAAACAAGGCCAAAAGAAAAGACAGGGAAAAAACAUGAUAUGGGAUACUCUUGCUUUUAACCCUGAUGAUAUGAGAUAUUCUUGCUCUAGUAUAGCUUGUUUGCAGAGGUAUUAUCGGGGGGAAAGAAAGAUGAAUAUUUUGAAAGGCUUCGUUGGGAGUGCCCUUUCAGAUAUGAUGAAGGGUUGAGCAUUUUUGCAGGUCUGCCUGUCCGUUGGGGAUGGAGGUCGACAUAUAUAGGAGUCUCCCUAACAACAAGUAGUAAUGCUAUUCCUUUACCCUGCUUGGUCAUCAUAGCACGGUAGUGGGAGCUGCCAGUUUCACAUGUUUUAACUCUGUCAGAGCACUUUGAAAAAGUGGUCUGUGGUAUCUGGCUCUCGAGAUUCGGAGAACGAUGCCUCUUCGAUUUUUGAGAAAGCAAUCAUGCUGGGGGUAUGACUCUCGAGAUUCGGAGAGCAGUGUCUCUUCGAUUUUUGAGGAAGUAAUCAUGUUGGGAGUCUGGCUCUCGAGAUUCGGAGGGCGGUGCCUCUUCGAUUUUGGAGCAAGCAAUCUUGUUGGGAGUGUUGUCUCGAAUGUGAGUAAAGGUUGGGCAUGUUUGCUAGUCUACCUUGCCACGAAGCACAAAGGUUGACACACAGGGACUUUCCAAUUAUCCAGCAAUGGUACUGUUCCUUUACCCUCUCUUCGAUUUUGAGAAAGUAGUCAUGUUGGGAGUCUGGCUCUCGAGAUUCGGAGGACGGUGCCUCUUCGAUUUUGGAGCAAGCAAUCUUAUUGGGAGUGUUUUCUCGAAUGUGAGUAAAGGUUAGGCAUGUUUGCUAGUCUACCUUGCCACGAAGCACAGAGGUUGACACACAGGGACUUUCCAAUUAUCCAGCAGUGGUACUGUUCCUUUACAGUUGUGGGUAAUAAUAUGGUAGCUAGACCUUCAAAAUUUAUGUGUCUAAACUUUUGUUAGUGCUGUUUCUUUGCUAUUCUUUUACCUUUCUUGGUCAGAGCGAUGUAGUGGGAGCUGCAAGCUUCACGUGCUCAACUUUGGCAGAGAACUUUGGCAAAGUUAUUUGUGGUACCCAUGAGCUAUUGUUGCGUGUGGGAAGUGGGUGAUUGAACAGUAAGAUUCAUGUGCUUUCUACUUCACCAGAAGUCUUCGAUAGAAUGCCCAUAAUUUCUACAAAGCUGAGUGUGCGUGUGACAGGUGCUGACAAGGCUAGAAAAGUAGGUGCUUCUUCGAUUUCUGAGAUCGGCCCUCGUGGUCUCUAAGCAGCCCAGCUUUUGAGAAAGCGAGCGCCUCUUCGAUUGAUUCGGAGAACGAUGCCUCAUCGAUUUUUGAAAAAGCAAUCAUGCUGGGGGUCUGGCUCUGGAGAUUCGGGGAGCAGUGUCUCUUCGAUUUUUGAGAAAGUAAUCAUGUUGGGAGUCUGGCUCUCGAGAUUCGGAGGGCGGUGCCUCUUCGAUUUUGGAGCAAGCAAUCUUGUUGGGAGUGUUUUCUCGAAUGUGAGUAAAGGUUGGGCAUGUUUGCUAGUCUACCUUGCCACGAAGCACAGAGGUUGACACACAGGGACUUUUCAAUUAUCCAGCAAUGGUACUGUUCCUUUACCCUCUCUUCGAUUUUUAAGAAAGUAGUCAUGUUGGGAGUCUGGCUCUCGAGAUUCGGAGGACGGUGCCUCUUCGAUUUUGGAGCAAGCAAUCUUAUUGGGAGUGUUUUCUCGAAUGUGAGUAAAGGUUGGGCAUGUUUGCUAGUCUACCUUGCCACGAAGCACAGAGGUUGACACACAGGGACUUUCCAAUUAUCCAGCAGUGGUACUGUUCCUUUACCCUUGUGGGUAAUAAUAUGGUAGCUAGACCUUCAAAAUUUAUGGGUCUAAACUUUGUUAGUGCUGUUUCUUUGCUAUUCUUUUACCCUUCUUGGUCAGAGCGAUGUAGUGGGAGCUGCAAGCUUCACGUGCUCAACUUUGGCAGAGAACUUUGGCAAAGUUAUUUGUGGUACCCAUGAGCUAUUGUUGCGUGUGUGGGAAGUGGGUGAUUGAAUAGUAAGAUUCAUGUGUUUUCUACUUCCCCAGAAGUCUUUGACAGAAUGCCCAUAAUUUCCGCAAAACUGAGUGUGCGUGUGACAGGUGCUGACAAGGCUGGAAAAGGCUGGAAAAGUAGGUGCCUCUUCGAUUUCUGAUAUCGGCCCUAGUGGUCUCUGGGGAGCCCAGCUUUUGAGAAAGCGAGCGCCUCUUCGAUUUUUGAGAUCGGCCUUCGUGGUGGUCUUUGAGCAGCCCAACUUUUGAGAAAGCAAACGCCUCUUCGAUUUCUGAGAUCAACCCUCGUGAUCUCUAAGCAGCCCAGCUUUUGAGAAAGCAAACGCCUCUUCGAUUUCUGAGCAGGCGCCUCUUCGAUUUCUGAAGCUUCGUCGAGUGCAGAUUUUUAUAGGGGCUGUCAUUAAGUUCCAAAGCACACUUGAAUCUCCACCAGUAGAAGCUUCAUUCUUGCACUUCUAAGAUCUUGAUUUGUCCGACCUCUUCUCUCUUCAACACCUUUGAAAAUGUCUGGCCCCUCCGACCGUCGUUUUGACUUGAACCUUGUUGAAGAGGCAGCCCCGCCUUCUCCAGACAACAUAUGGCGCCCAUCCUUCGUCUCCCCUACUGGUCCUCUUACCGUUGGGGAUUCCGUGAUGAAGAAUGAUAUGACCGCUGCGGUGGUGGCCAGGAACCUUCUCACUCCCAAAGAUAACAGACUACUUUCCAAACGGUCUGAUGAGUUAGCUGUUAAGGAUUCGCUGGCUCUCAGUGUUCAGUGUGCAGGUUCUGUGUCUAAUAUGGCCCAACGCCUAUUUGCUCGAACCCGCCAAGUUGAAUCAUUGGCGGCUGAAGUGAUGAGUCUCAAACAGGAGAUUAGAGGGCUCAAGCAUGAGAAUAAACAAUUGCACCGGCUCGCACAUGACUAUGCUACAAACAUGAAGAGGAAGCUUGACCAGAUGAAGGAAACUGAUGGUCAGGUUUUACUUGAUCAUCAGAGAUUUUGUGGGUUUGUUCCAAAGGCAUUUAUUGCCUUCGUCUUCUGGGGCUGUACCGCGUAAUGAAGCUCCAAAUGAUCAACCUCUGAUGCCUCCUUCUAGGGUUCUGUCCAGUACUGAGGCUCCAAAUGAUCCCCCUCCGGUGCCUUCUCUUUCUGGGGCUCUACCGACUGUUGAGACUUCUCCUAAGCAACCUUUGUGAAGGCUCCCUCUUGUGUGCUUAUUUUGACUCAUGUAUAUGUACAUAUUUGUAGCUUAUCGGGGAUAUCAAUAAAUAAGCUUUCCUUCAUUUCAACGUAUUGUGUUAAAUACACCAAAGCCUUCUUCGCUAAGUUCUUUGAAUUUUCUUUUGUUAAAGCUUGUAUGUUGAAGCUUUCUGAGUGGAGCAUGUAGGUUGGGGUAGUGUUCCCUUAAUUUCCCGAGUGAGGAAAACUUCUCGGUUGGAGACUUGGAAAAUCCAAGUCACUGAGUGGGAUCGGCUAUAUGAAUCUUAGAACGCCAUUGUGCUCGAUCCUGUGUCAUGUCCUUCGUUAGAUCCAAGUACUCUAAGUCUUUUCUUAGAGUCUCUUCCAAAGUUUUCCUAGGUCUUCCUCUACCCCUUCGGCCCUGAACCUCUGUCCCAUAGUCGCAUCUUCUAAUCGGAACGUCAGUAGUAGGCCUUCUUUGCACAUGUCCAAACCACCGUAACCGAUUUUCUCUCAUCUUUCCUUCAAUUUCGGCUACUCCUACUUUACCCCGGAUAUCCUCAUUCCUAAUCUUAUCCUUUCUCGUGUGCCCACACAUCCAACGAAGCAUCCUCAUCUCCGCUACACCCAUUUUGUGUACGUGUUGAUGUUUCACCGUCCAACAUUCUGUGCCAUACAGCAUCGCCGGCCUUAUUGCCGUCCUAUAAAAUUUUCCCUUGAGCUUCAGUGGCAUACGGCGGUCACACAACACGCCGGAUGCACUCUUCCACUUCAUCCAUCCAGCUUGUAUUCUAUGGUUGAGAUCUCCAUCUAAUUCUCCGUUCUUUUGCAAGAUAGAUCCUAGGUAACAAAAACGGUCGCUCUUUGGUAUUUCUUGAUCUCCGAUCCUCACCCCUAACUCGUUUUGGCCUCCAUUUGCACUGAACUUGCACUCCAUAUAUUCUGUCUUUGAUCGGCUUAGGCGAAGACCUUUAGAUUCCAACACUUCUCUCCAAAGGUUAAGCUUUGCAUUUACCCCUUCCUGAGUUUCAUCUAUCAACACUAUAUCGUCUGCGAAAAGCAUACACCAAGGAAUAUCAUCUUGAAUAUGUCGUGUUAACUCAUCCAUUACCAACGCAAAAAGGUAAGGACUUAAGGAUGAGCCUUGAUGUAAUCCUACAGUUAUGGGAAAGCUUUCGGUUUGUCCUUCAUGAGUUCUUACAGCAGUCUUUUGCUCCUUCAUACAUAUCCUUUAUAGCUUGGAUAUAUGCUACUCGUACUCCUUUUCUUCUCUAAAAUCCUCCAAAGAAUGUCUCUUGGGACCCUAUCAUACGCUUUUUCCAAAUCUAUAAAGACCAUGUGUAAAUCCUUUUUCCCAUCUCUAUAUCUUUCCAUCAAUCUUCGUAAGAGAUAGAUUGCCUCCAUGGUUGAGCGCCCUGGCAUGAACCCGAAUUGGUUAUCCGAAACCCGUGUCUCUUGCCUCAAUCUAUGCUCAAUGACUCUCUCCCAGAGCUUCAUUGUAUGACUCAUUAGCUUAAUACCCCUAUAGUUCAUGCAAUUUUGUACGUCGCCCUUAUUCUUGUAGAUAGGCACCAAAGUGCUCAUUCGCCACUCAUUUGGCAUCUUCUUCGUUUUCAAAAUCCUAUUGAAAAGGUCAGUGAGCCAUGUUAUACCUGUCUCUCCCAAAAGUUUCCACACUUCGAUUGGUAUAUCGUCUGGGCCUAUUGCUUUUUUAUGCUUCAUCUUCUUCAAAGCUACAACCACUUCUUCCUUCCGGAUUCGACGAUAAAAAGAGUAGUUUCUACACUCUUCUGAGUUACUCAACUCCCAUAAAGAAGCACUCAUUUCAUGUCCUUCAUUGAAAAGAUUAUGAAAAUAACAUCUCCAUCUAUCUUUAACCGCGUUCUCUGUAGCAAGAACCUUUCCAUCCUCAUCCUUGAUGCACCUCACUUGGUUUAGGUCCCUUGUCUUCUUUUCCCUUGCUCUAGAUAGUUUAUAGAUAUCCAACUCUCCUUCUUUGGUAUCUAGUCGUUUAUACAUAUCGUUGUAAGCCGCUAACUUAGCUUCUCUGACAGCUUUCUUCGCCUCUUGCUUCGCUUUUCUAUACCUUUCACCAUUUUCAUCAGUCCUCUCCUUGUAUAAGGCUUUACAACAUUCCUUCUUAGCCUUCACCUUUAUUUGUACCUCCUCAUUCCACCACCAAGAUUCCUUUUGGUGUGGGGCAAAGCCCUUGGACUCUCCUAAUACCUCUUUUGCUACUUUUCGGAUACAACUAGCCAUGGAAUCCCACAUUUGGCUAGCUUCCCCCUCUCUAUCCCACACACAUUGGGUGAUUACCUUCUCUUUGAAAAUGGCUUGUUUUUUCUUCUUUUAGAUUCCACCAUCUAGUCCUUGGGCACUUCCAAGUCUUGUUCUUUUGUCUUACUCUUUUGAUAUGUACAUCCAUCACCAACAAGCGAUGUUGAUUAGCCACGCUCUCUCUCCUGGUAUAACUUUGCAAUCCUUACAAGUUAUACGAUCCCCUUUCCUCAUUAGAAGAAAAUCUAUUUGUGUUUUUGACGACCCACUCUUGUAGGUGAUCACAUGUUUCUUCUCUCUUCUUAAAGAAGGUGUUGGCUAAGAAGAGAUCAUAUGCCAUUGCAAAAUCCAAGAUAGCUUCCCCAUCCUCGUUUCUCUCCCCAAAACCAUGGCCACCAUGAAAACCUCCAUAGUUGCCUGUCUCCCUGCCCACGUGUCCAUUUAAAUCUCCUCCUAUAAAUAACUUCUCCGUCUGAGCAAUUCCUUGCACCAAGUCUCCAAGAUCUUCCCAAAAUUUCUCCUUCGAACUCGUAUCCAACCCUACUUGAGGUGCGUACGCACUAAUCACAUUGAUAAGUUCUUGUCCUAUUACAAUCUUGAUUGCCAUGAUUCUAUCUCCUACCCUCUUGACAUCUACAACAUCUUGUACCAAGGUCUUGUCCACGAUUAUGCCAACACCGUUUCUCGUUCUAUUUGUGCCCGAAUACCAAAGUUUAAACCCUGAGUUUUCUAGAUCCUUUGCCUUACUACCAACCCACUUAGUUUCUUGUAGGCACAUAAUAUUUAUCCUUCUCCUCACCAUAACUUCCACUACUUCCAUAGAUUUUUCCCGUUAAGGUUCCUAUAUUCCACGUUCCUAAACGCAUUUUGCUCUCUUGAACUCUACCCUUCUGUCCUAGCUUCUUCACCCUCCCCCGUCUAAUAGGAUCAAAGUACUUCUUUUGUGUGUCCCGGGUAAAGUUGAUAGGAGCAUAUGCUCCCAAACAACUUUGAGUGGAGUCGUUCGAAAAGAAGUUUCUAUGGCCCCCUUGCUCAUUUAACACUGCAUCCGGGUGCCGAUGGAGAUACAGCGACCCUUGCUCACUUAUCACUGUGCUCAGGCCACACAGCGCGCCACUUACGGGUGACGCCCUAGCUUUAGCGCGAUUUUGUUCUGGAUUCAUUUUCAUAAGGAUUCGACGUGAUCAUGGAGUGCCGGCUGUCGACUACCUGACGCCCUCCCCCUCCUCCUUUAUCCGGGCUUGGGACCAGCCAUGUAAGACAUAGGCGGAGUUACUGUUAAACCUGAUGUAAAAUGAAAAAAAUAUGAAUCGUGCUUCAUGUGGAGGGUAGGUUUAAUUACUUUGUUCAAAAUGAAGCCAUGUCUCGUGGUUUAGGGUUUGACCAAUAAUAUGAUAUUGUCUGCCGAAGGAUCUUCUUCGGCGUGUAAUUAUAUGCACCUUCAGUGAUUAGGGUUUACUUUGUUCUACAACGAAGGACGAGAGCAAGUUUAGGAGCUUGAAGAAAAAUAGUCUUGAGAUGUAGGUUCUUACGUUGGAUUAUUUGUGGUGCAUGUGUAUAGAGAAAACAAAGUUUUAUGGUCAAACCGGAUUAAUGAUUCCUAUGGUGAUAUGGUAUUCAAGAUAGUCCAUGUGAUAAACAAAUUAGGAUAUGAACCCUUGCGGUGAAGAUUGUUGGCAAAUUGGGUUGUUUAGAUAUAGACCCUUAUAACUAUUAUCGUCUAGACAAAAACCCACCUCAUAUUAAACAUCCAAAUAAAAUCCAAAAUUCAAAAAGUCUGUCAUAUUGGCAAAUAAAUGACCUAUCCUUAUAAAAUAUUUACAACUUAUGCCAUAAUGACCUAAAUAUUUCAAUGGAUAUUAUUAUUACUCACCUUCAAUUAUGCUAGCAAUGAGCAAUUUUAAAACCACGUAUUACAGACUAUUUACCCAUAUUUUAAAAAUUCACUAAUUUACCUACAUUCUUUUGAUACAAACUAAUUACCUAUAUUUUAAAAAUUCACUAAUUUACCUACAUUCUUUUGUUACAAGCUAAUUUAUCUGCAUUUUUGUAGUACAUACUAAUUCACCAAUCUAUAAAUGGGGGUAAGGCUAGCCGACAUUCACCUCUCCCAGACCCUGCGUAAAGCGGGAGCCUUGUGCACUGGGUACGACCUUUUAUACUAAUUCACCAAUCUACUUAUUAAUUUACCUAUACAAAUAAUACUGUCAUAUAAUUAAUUAUAAUAUCCAAAGUAAUCAUAUACAUUUUUUUUCUUUACAAUAUCACGUCUAUGGGGAAGGUAAAUUAUUUUUACAGUAUUUCUAAUCUAAGUGGGUACUAACAUAUAGAUAGGUAAAUUAUUUUCUAUGAAAAGAAAAAAAAAUACAACCAUUAAUUUGUAUAAUUUUUUUGACACAAAUUAUUUGUCCAUGUUUCAACGUAAAACACCAUAAUAUUUUUAUUUAUAUUAUAUAUUGCAUUGAAAAGAAAGCCUAAUCAAACAAUAGGUUAAUUGACAUUUAAUUGCAUUGAAAACAAUAAAAUGCAAAAUUUAUUAAUAAUCAUAAGUCAAACCUAACUCACGUUACACUCUAUGAGUGUAUUUUAGGAACAUGAGAAUUAUAAAAACUGACAUUCCAAGCUUGUUAAGGAAAUUUGAUUAGUUGGACUCUAGUACUGACAUUCCAAACUUGUUAAGGAAAUUUGAUUAGUUGGACUCUAGUAAAUGGGGUUUAAGUCUGAAAAAAUAAAGAGGAUGGGUUUUAAGUGAGAAAAUAAGUUUUAAGGGGGGAACUCUCAUUUUGAGUUUUGGUAACCUUCUUCUCUCUUCCUUUCUCUGUGUCCUCAACUCUCUGAUCUCCAGGCUCUCAGACAUUUAUUCUUUCUGUUAACAUUCUUCUCUUUCUCUUUCUAAAUUUUGUCUCCGUCAAUGGAUUGAUGUGCGCAAAUUUAAUUCAAACAUAUAGUACUAAUUAAAAUAGCGGAAUUGCAAAAUGAAGCAAACAGAUGAUAAAACAAAGAAAGAUUAAUAAACUUAGCCAAGAAGAAUAAUAUGAGUAAGUAGCGUUAUAGCUUCAUUUAUUGGGGAAUAUGUUACACGCACAUCCUUUUUGAUCAAGUACUUCUCUCAUCCUUUUUGAUCACUUGAUUAACAAUUUAGUUCAAGUAAAUGGCCAAGAAGGACAAGAGUGAAGCUCCAACCAGAGAUCCAACGGCGUUCAUGCUACUUCCAUUAGGUGCUGGAGUAGAAGCUACAGGGCCAGCUGUGGCUGCAGCGGCGGGGGUGGCUGCAGCGGUGGUGGCUGCAGUGGGGGUGGCUGCAGAGGUGGUGGCUGCAGCGCCCUUUACAGGUGCAGCAGCCAUUGCUGCGCUGAUGCAGACGGCAACUACGAGGACAACCAAGGCAAUCUUCUUCAUGGCCAUUUUGCGAGCGGCGUGUGGUCGGUCAA
rnacentral:lncRNA from 1 species